CCUACUGGAGACAUCAUUAGGGAGUAUUGCUCAAUGGGGGAAACCCUGAAGCAUCCCCGCAGCUUUUCGUCUUCCUUUUUUCUUCUUUUCCCCUCCUUUUUUUCUCUAAUAUAAUGACGGUAUCUAACGAAUAAGCACCGGCUAACUCCGUGCCAGCAGCCGCGGUAAUACGGAGGGUGCAAGCGUUACUCGGAAUCACUGGGCGUAAAGAGUGCGUAGGCGGGAUAGCAAGUCAGAUGUGAAAUCCUAUGGCUUAACCAUAGAACUGCAUUUGAAACUGUUAUUCUAGAGUAUGGGAGAGGUAGGUGGAAUUCUUGGUGUAGGGGUAAAAUCCGUAGAGAUCAAGAGGAAUACUCAUUGCGAAGGCGACCUGCUAGAACAUAACUGACGCUGAUGCGCGAAAGCGUGGGGAGCAAACAGGAUUAGAUACCCGUGUAGUC
rnacentral:rRNA from 1 species